UCAUUGGUACUGCUCAGGCUAA
rnacentral:misc_RNA from 1 species